UACGUAGGGGGCAAGCGUUGUCCGGAUUUAUUGGGCGUAAAGAGCGUGUAGGCGGCCAGAUAGGUCAGCUGUGAAAACUCGAGGCUCAACCUCGAGACGUCGGUUGAAACCAUCUGGCUAGAGUCCGGAAGAGGAGAGUGGAAUUCCCGGUGUAGCGGUGAAGUGCGCAGAUAUCGGGAAGAACACCCGUGGCGAAGGCGGCUCUCUGGGCUAACACUGACGCUCAUGCACGAAAGCGUGGGGAGCAAACAGG
rnacentral:rRNA from 1 species